CGGGAAUAUACUGUAAGGAUUGUAAGGAAAUCUGAACAAGCUCCUGACUCAUGCUUUGCUCACACGCUACAGAACAAGAAGACCGUGUCAGUGAGAUUAGCUGAUAACCAACACCAUAAUCACUAUGAACAUAACGUGAAGUACAGAUAAAGUACAAACACAUAGAUACAAACAACUGAUUCACUGAUAGGCAGUCACACUCUCUGCGCAGAGAAGUGCAAGACUAGGAUAAAAGGCAACAGUCAACGGAGGUCUGGACUUCACUUCUUCUCUUUCUCUGAAGUCACCAGCGGGUUAUACUGCUUUGUAACUAGGAACAACAGCAAUAAAGGCCUUUUCUUUGAGACGACUUCUAUCUCCAGUGUUUGCUUUGGCCAUAUCCAAAUAGCUGUUCUCGCGUGAUACAAAAGAACCAAGUCCUUACAAUUGGUGCCGAGAUCAGGAUAUCUUCGCGAGAAGAAUUGCAAGAAGAGUAGAGAGGGUCGCUGUUAUUAUUGUUUAAAUAUUUAUUGUAAUUUUUUUUUCUCAUCAGAGCCUCGGAUGAGACAACAUGGCGAUCUCCUAAUUGGACAGACCAAACAUUUGCAGACGUGGGAGCCGCAGCCUGAGGACGAGACCACUCAAAAUAUUGACAUACACUGAUCAAAGGCAAGAGAAAGUGGAAAAAAUUGGUUUGCCGUUCCUUCUU
rnacentral:lncRNA from 1 species